UACGUAGGGUGCAAGCGUUGUCCGGAAUUAUUGGGCGUAAAGAGCUCGUAGGCGGUUCGUCGCGUCGGCUGUGAAAACCCGAGGCUCAACCUCGGGCCUGCAGUCGAUACGGGCGGACUGGAGUUCGGCAGGGGAGACUGGAAUUCCUGGUGUAGCGGUGAAAUGCGCAGAUAUCAGGAGGAACACCGAUGGCGAAGGCAGGUCUCUGGGCCAUAACUGACGCUGAGAAGCGAAAGCAUGGGGAGCGAACAGG
rnacentral:rRNA from 1 species